GGAGAGGUGGCUGAGCGGUUGAAAGCACUCGCCUCGAAAGCGAGCAGGGGGUUUCAUCUCCCUCGAGGGUUCAAAUCCCUCCCUCUCCGCCA
rnacentral:tRNA from 1 species